rnacentral:rRNA from 1 species
UACGUAGGGGGCAAGCGUUGUCCGGAUUUAUUGGGCGUAAAGAGCGUGUAGGCGGCCAUUCAGGUCGGUUGUGAAAACUGGAGGCUUAACCUCCAGACGUCGACCGAAACCGUGUGGCUAGAGUCCGGAAGAGGAGAGUGGAAUUCCUGGUGUAGCGGUGAAAUGCGCAGAUAUCAGGAGGAACACCGGUGGCGAAGGCGGAUCUCUGGGCCAUUACUGACGCUGAGGAGCGAAAGCGUGGGGAGCGAACAGU